rnacentral:rRNA from 1 species
GNUGAUCCUGCCGGACCCGACUGCUAUUUGGGUGAGAAUAAGCCAUGCGAGUCGAAUGGGAUACCUAAAUUUCCCAUGGCAAACUGCUCAAUAACACAUGAUCAACUUACCCUAUGGAGAGGAAUAACCUCGGGAAACUGAGGAUAAUGCCUCAUAAUGGAUUAGGCUUGGAAAAGUUUAUCUAUAAAAAGGAUAAAAAAAAUGGUUCUUAUUCGCUAUAGGAUAGGAUCGUGGUCGAUUAUGGUUGUUGGUGAGGUAACGGCUCACCAAGCCGAUAAUCGAUAGGGGCCGUGAGAGCGGGAGCCCCGAGAUGGGUACUGAGACAACGACCCAGGCCUUACGAGGCGCAGCAGGCGCGAAACCUCCGCAAUACACGAAAGUGUGACGGGGUUACCCAAAGUGUUCUUUUGAACUGUGGUAGGUGGGUAAUUUCCCCUACCAGAAAGGAGAGGGCAAGGCUGGUGCCAGCCGCCGCGGUAAAACCAGCUCUUCAAGUGGUCGGGAUAUUUAUUUGGCUUAAAGUGUCCGUAGCCGGUUUGGUAAGUUCCUGGUAAAAUCGGAUAGCUUAACUAUCCGUAUGCUAGGAAUACUGCUUUACUAGAGGGCGGGAGAGGUCUGAGGUACUACAGGGGUAGGGGUGAAAUCUUAUAAUCCUUGUAGGACCACCAGUGGCGAAGGCGUCAGACUGGAACGCGCCUGACGGUGAGGGACGAAAGCCAGGGGAGCGAACCGGAUUAGAUACCCGGGUAGUCCUGGCCGUAAACGAUGCAUACUAGGUGAUGGCACGGCCAUGAGCCGUGUCAGUGCCGUAGGGAAACCGUUAAGUGUGCCGCCUGGGAAGUACGGUCGCAAGGCUAAAACUUAAAGGAAUUGGCGGGGGAGCACCACAAGGGGUGAAGCCUGCGGUUCAAUUGGAUUCAACGCCGGG